rnacentral:rRNA from 1 species
GACGAAUGCUGGCUGCGUGCUUAACACAUGCAAGUCGAACGGUGAAGGAGGGCUUGCCCUCCGGAUCAGUGGCGAACGGGUGAGUAACACGUGGGCAACCUGCCCCUCACUCUGGGAUAACGCCGGGAAACCGGCGCUAAUACCGGAUACGACCAGGCGCGACAUCUCGCCUGGUGGAAAGAAUUUCGGUGAGGGAUGGGCCCGCGGCCUAUCAGCUUGUUGGUGGGGUAACGGCCCACCAAGGCGACGACGGGUAGCCGGCCUGAGAGGGCGACCGGCCACACUGGGACUGGGACACGGCCCAGACUCCUACGGGAGGCAGCAGGGGGGAAUAUUGCGCAAUGGGCGAAAGCCUGACGCAGCGACGCAGCGUGAGGGACGAAGGCCUUCGGGUUGUAAACCUCUUUCAGCGGGGACGAAGCGAAAGUGACGGUACCCGCAGAAGAAGCACCGGCUAACUACGUGCCAGCAGCCGCCGUAAAAC